CUAAUACAUGCAAGUAGAACGCUGAAGAGAGGAGCUUGCUCUUCUUGGAUGAGUUGCGAACGGGUGAGUAACGCGUAGGUAACCUGCCUUGUAGCGGGGGAUAACUAUUGGAAACGAUAGCUAAUACCGCAUAACAAUGGAUGACACAUGUCAUUUAUUUGAAAGGGGCAAUUGCUCCACUACAAGAUGGACCUGCGUUGUAUUAGCUAGUAGGUGAGGUAAUGGCUCACCUAGGCGACGAUACAUAGCCGACCUGAGAGGGUGAUCGGCCACACUGGGACUGAGACACGGCCCAGACUCCUACGGGAGGCAGCAGUAGGGAAUCUUCGGCAAUGGGGGCAACCCUGACCGAGCAACGCCGCGUGAGUGAAGAAGGUUUUCGGAUCGUAAAGCUCUGUUGUAAGUCAAGAACGGGUGUGAGAGUGGAAAGUUCACACUGUGACGGUAGCUUACCAGAAAGGGACGGCUAACUACGUGCCAGCAGCCGCGGUAAUACGUAGGUCCCGAGCGUUGUCCGGAUUUAUUGGGCGUAAAGCGAGCGCAGGCGGUUUGAUAAGUCUGAAGUUAAAGGCUGUGGCUCAACCAUAGUUCGCUUUGGAAACUGUCAAACUUGAGUGCAGAAGGGGAGAGUGGAAUUCCAUGUGUAGCGGUGAAAUGCGUAGAUAUAUGGAGGAACACCGGUGGCGAAAGCGGCUCUCUGGUCUGUAACUGACGCUGAGGCUCGAAAGCGUGGGGAGCGAACAGGAUUAGAUACCCUGGUAGUCCACGCCGUAAACGAUGAGUGCUAGGUGUUGGAUCCUUUCCGGGAUUCAGUGCCGCAGCUAACGCAUUAAGCACUCCGCCUGGGGAGUACGACCGCAAGGUUGAAACUCAAAGGAAUUGACGGGGGCCCGCACAAGCGGUGGAGCAUGUGGUUUAAUUCGAAGCAACGCGAAGAACCUUACCAGGUCUUGACAUCCCGAUGCUAUUUCUAGAGAUAGAAAGUUACUUCGGUACAUCGGUGACAGGUGGUGCAUGGUUGUCGUCAGCUCGUGUCGUGAGAUGUUGGGUUAAGUCCCGCAACGAGCGCAACCCCUAUUGUUAGUUGCCAUCAUUCAGUUGGGCACUCUAGCGAGACUGCCGGUAAUAAACCGGAGGAAGGUGGGGAUGACGUCAAAUCAUCAUGCCCCUUAUGACCUGGGCUACACACGUGCUACAAUGGUUGGUACAACGAGUUGCGAGUCGGUGACGGCGAGCUAAUCUCUUAAAGCCAAUCUCAGUUCGGAUUGUAGGCUGCAACUCGCCUACAUGAAGUCGGAAUCGCUAGUAAUCGCGGAUCAGCACGCCGCGGUGAAUACGUUCCCGGGCCUUGUACACACCGCCCGUCACACCACGAGAGUUUGUAACACCCGAAGUCGGUGAGGUAACCUUUUGGAGCCAGCCGCCUAAGGU
rnacentral:rRNA from 1 species